UUGGCUCAGGAUGAACGCUGGCGGCACGCUUAACACAUGCAAGUCGAACGGAGUUAUCGAGAGCUUGCUUUUGAUAACUUAGUGGCGGACGGGUGAGUAACACGUGAGCAAUCUGCCCUUAAGAGGGGGAUAGCAGUUGGAAACGACUGAUAAUACCGCAUAAGAUAGUAGUAUCGCAUGAUACAGCUAUAAAAGAUUUAUCGCUUAAGGAUGAGCUCGCGUCUGAUUAGCUAGUUGGUGAGGUAACGGCUCACCAAGGCAACGAUCAGUAGCCGGACUGAGAGGUUGGACGGCCGCAUUGGGACUGAGACACGGCCCAGACUCCUACGGGAGGCAGCAGUGGGGAAUA
rnacentral:rRNA from 1 species